rnacentral:rRNA from 1 species
GCUACGGGUGGCUGCAGUGGGGAAUAUUGGGCAAUGGGCGCAAGCCUGACCCAGCAACGCCGCGUGAAGGAAGAAGGCCCUCGGGUUGUAAACUUCUUUUGUCAGGGACGAAACAAAUGACGGUACCUGACGAAUAAGCCACGGCUAACUACGUGCCAGCAGCCGCGGUAAUACGUAGGUGGCAAGCGUUAUCCGGAUGUACUGUGUGUAAAGGGCGUGUAGGAGGGAGAGCAAGUCAGAUGUGAAAUUCCAGGGCUCAACCCUGGAACUGCAUUUGAUACUGUUUUUCUUGAGUGAUGGAGAGGCAGGCGGAAUUCCGUGUGUAGCGGUGAAAUGCGUAGAUAUACGGAGGAACACCAGUGGCGAAGGCAGCCUGCUGGACAUUAACUGACGCUGAGGCGCGAAAGCGUGGGGAGCAAACAGGAUUAGAUACCCCUGUAGUC